UUCCCAUGCUGGCUGGUCGGUUAUAACUUGCAGUUGCAGCGGCCAUCAGUUCAACGCUACCAAUCGGCAAUAAUUCAGUAUUUUAUUUUUCGCGCGAAUGAGGUCUUUUAUUGUCGGAUUGUAAAUCCGAGUGAGUAAAUUUCGAAAGAGCGAACGAGGAAACAAAUUCAAAACCAUACGGAGCAUAAAUUAAGCCCUUACUUCCGGUUUCGAAAUCAUUGUAUCUCCUGCUGACCGCUGCAGAUGCGGUGGGGGCCGCCACCCAAUCACGCAAACAGUUGAAUACAUACAGCAGAAUUAAGAUAAUUCCGUGUUUGGCACUCCAUAAAAAGCGUCAAAAUGAUGGACCAUAGAAUUAUCUCCAAGUACAGCGACGUGCGGGUGAAAAUAUCCGGCUGGGACGAACGGGUGCAGCAGUUUCCGAAGGAUUGUCCCUGCUGUUCCGUUGGGCGAGCUACGUAUCGCACCUUCGGCUAUACUACAAAGCACUUCAUUCCAAAAACAACAACACAGGCAAUGCACGAUGAUGUCUGGAAGCAUUGGUACCGGGCGAACAGAUGCCAGCAUAACAAUUGGGGUGAUUUCACAACCUACCGCACUACAUAUCAACAGGCUUUCGGAAAUCGACCAUCCUCAAUGUGCUACUAGGUCAGAACGUGCCAUAGUCAAACCCACCUACUAUAGAGAUCUUGGGGAUAGAAGAAAGAUCAUUGACUGAAGUUCGACCAAAUGCACCACGUAUGAAAUUCACACGAACACCUCUUCAAGGCGAACGUAAUCGCGCGGCAAACCAUUCAACUCACCAACCUCGACCAACCGAAAAAAAACGCAGCACGGAUCGGAGGUUUUGUCUUGGAUCGGACGGUCUCACGAAAAAGCGAGCUUUGCCGCUAAAUCUAGAGAUGAUGACUAUAUACGAUGGCGGGACACGACCGGACUGGCUGUAGCAACCGUGCACCAGCGGAGAGCUUGUUCCGGGUUGAAGUGAAUUUAUCGGUGGGAUUAGGCUGCCGAAAACGAUGAAACCAAGCGCCAAGUUCCUAAAUCCCGAAUAAAACCAAAUUGAGUAGAGUGAUUCCUUAGACUUUGUCCGAGGGUUAAUGAAUCGGUUCCGUUGGGAUUAGACGAACUAAAUUAGAAAGUAUCGGAGCAUGAAAUUGUCCGUGGUACGUAAAGGUUUUCGUAUCGCUUGCUCAUAGCGCUAUUUGUCCUCUACAAUCCCACUGAAUCAAUCUAUUGAAGUAAUUAAAUUGUUCGUAGCAUCCCAACAUGUUAGCGCUGGAAGGAAAGCGUUUAUCGCUGCAGGUGAAAAAUAAUAAGGAGCCUUUUUGCCGGAUCGCUAAAGCGACUGUCCGUAAUUGCACUUCGUGAUUAAUCAGAGAUUCGAAAAUCGCAGCAUAGACCAACUAAAAACCACCCGAGAGGAGCGUGACAUUCGCAUUGCGCUUCCUUCAGAGCUCUUUUAAUUUGUUAAUCGUUUCUUGUUUCUCAAUUUUCUUCGCUUAGUAGGAAAAUAUUAAUGAUAAUCUUGUACGUUUUGUCUAUCGAUGUUAUAUUGAUUAUUGCAGGUCAUUCUGUUAUAUGAAAGUUUAUAGGCUUUAGAGUUUGCCAUUCGCAACAACACAUGUUUAUUGGCGUGUAAACCAUUAAAGUGAAGAAGAACGUAGUUCUACGUCAACAUGGUUUGAAACAACAAAGCCUAUUAUCUUCACAUUUCAAACUGUGUUGAAGCCACAAAUAGCCGACUUCGAGCCACGUUGUGAUCGACUUCGAAAUUCCGGAGGCACAAGUCUCAAUAGAUCAUUGAACACGAAAAAUAACCUCACUUUUCUGACACUUCUCACGGAUUUGUUUAUAAGGUGUUUCCAUUCAUUGUUUAGUGAUAGGAGUGAAAAUGAAUGAUACGAGUACGAAAAAGAUGGGAAAACUCUCCGCCUAUGUGAAUUCGUUACUGUAGUCUUUUGGUUUAUUCAUGGAAACGUCAUUUUUAACAAGACACUUCCGCAUUUUUAAUUGGAGCCGAAAUUUUUACUAUGUAAACAAACCCGCGACAACUGUCAAAUCUCUUUCUUCUUUUUUUUGUGACGUCAUCGUGGAAUGAUCUAUAACAGUUAAUGCGUCCCCUGUGAAAACGAUACUUUAUGUUUGCUGCAGUGAAGCAUAGAAAAAUGUAUGUAUCUCAAAAGUUUAAAUCUCUGCGAGAAUGUUGUCUGUCAGCGAGAUAGAAUAACAUAUGAAGUUGUACACAUCGUAGGUUGCUAUCCAAUCACCUUAGAAAAAAAUACAAUAAUAAUGAUUACCUAUCAAACAUAUCAACUAUUGUCACCAGAAAGAAGCUUGGGAUCAUGAUGUAUAAAGACAUGGUGUAACGGUAUGUCAAAAGCAAAAUCGGCCAUAUUGGAAAACAAAAAUUGCCAGCGAGUAGGUUUGUUUAUAAACAACUAGGGCAUAAAAAUUAUCGCAUCUCAUAAUAUAUGCAUUUAAGGGGUAAUAUCUACCAAAAAAAAUUUUUUUUCGCCAUUUUUUUUAUUGGCCUAAAUCAAGCUAAAACUAUCCAAGAAUCAA